CACAGCAUAUACCUAGAUCACGCACACCUGGUGAGUGCUGGUAACAUUGUUAGGGAAAGCAAAACCGACCAGCUGCUACCGCUCUGUAAACAAGAGGUGAGGAAUAUACUAAGGCGUAAUAGCUCAUCUAGGAUUGAGUGUGGAAUUUUGGGAGAAAAAUUAAUCAUUUUUCAAUAAUGUUUUAUUAACCCAGCACCAAAUGGACCUAAAUAAUAUUGGAAUUAUGGUGAAAUUACAUGCUGUCGCUAUAAAGCAGCGGUCGCUGUCAAACUCAAAACCUUUAGAGGGCCAAUUCUUAUUUUAGUUACCCUCUUCAGGGCCAACACAAGUGCUAUAUCAAAUAUUUGCAGGAUUGAAGUUUACAGCUUCACACAUUGCCUUACCUGACUUAUCAGGAAUACCUCAUUUGGUUUUGUCUGAUAUUAAGUGUGUAAAAUUCAUUUUACUUAAUAAACAUGAGUAACGCUAAUAGUAGGAUAGCAAAAAGCACAGACGAUGCAUUUUCCCUUUUCAGUAGUGUUAUUACUAGCAUUAACAAUAUAAAUUCAAUUAUUGCCACAAUUAUGUAAAGAUCAUUUUGGAAUUUACUGACUUAAUCAUAUUUGCAUUUUUCCUUCAUAUCUAUUUCUAUUAUAAUUUCAUGGGCUGAUAAAGUUUACCGUCAUCCCGCGGACCACAAUGGACCAUCCCAAGGGCCACAUUUUGUCCGCGGGCCAUGAGUUUGACACCCCUAUUAUAAAGGGAUCACGGGGUGACGAGUGAGAGAAGGCAUUGAUCUGCUGGGAGUUGUAGAUGGUUCAGACAGUCACUGCAGCAUGGAACACUAUGUACACCAUGAUAUGACCUACACCCCGACGUGUCACGCUGAGUAAGACGAGGCUACAGUAUAUACGCAGGCCUCUGGCCCUGGAAGAUUUCUGAGUAUGUUUCAUUAUGUUGAAUAUGCACACCCAGUACAUUAUUGUAACACUAUUAUGGUAGAGUAUUUAGCUAAACAAAACAGUAGUUAUAUGUAGUCACAGCACAGUCAAUAUGCAGCACUGCAGUUGACAAUUACUAAUUUUAUAUUGAAGUUACUAAUACAGUACUGUUACAACUUUAUGAUAAUAUCCAUAUGUUUGUAAUACAAAAACGUGACUAACAAAAGUUUAUGUUCUUCGGCACAGCUGUCAUAAUAAGUGUGAAGUAUACCUACAUGAGAAUUUAAAUGUGGUGAGGAUGGAAGCAUCACCCACCUGGAGUGAUAACCAAGCUGCAUAACCUGGUCUUGGUCCUUUCUCAUAACUGCACCCCCCCCCCUCCCUCUCACAAAGAAAAUUUGCACCUUUGUUAAUUUGCAAGUUACAGACAUUUUACGAAACAGUGAUAUCCGUAUUAUCCUGAAUAGUUGGUGCAGAGCGGUUCUGCUUACGAGAGAUUUCCUGGUAUUGAGACAAAUUUUCUCUUCCCCGGAAAAAAUUGCACAUCCCCGGAAUUUUUCUGGUUACUGUACGGGGUAAAAUUUCCGACAGUGUAAACUAUGCAUCUCGCACGGACAGACACAGCUGUAUUUAUUUAGGCAAAGACCACUGUACAGUCACCUAAAAAAGUCCUGUCGCAAACCAUGAACUUCGAGAUUCAGACUCUUGAAUCUGAAGCAUUUAUGGACAGAAUAAUGUAUCAGUGUCUACUGCUUCGGGUUCACGAGUCUGAAUCGUGGUUCGCGACAGGACUUUUUUGGGUGACUGUACAUGUACACGUACAAUACCAUAUAUUGUAAAUAAGCAAAAAUACUACUGUAAAUACUAUACUUCUGUACCCACCAGCAGAUACUGUCGUCUUGAACUUGUGAUGCAGGCUGGCCAAAUGGUGAUAUGAUGAUACAGGAUGGCCUGCCUUUGUCCUGUACCAUCUACUGUAGCAGGUGUUGCUAUCUGUCACUCCUCUCCCUUCAUGGAGGAGGGAUUGUACAUGCACUGUAUACUGUACCCUUUAAACUACAGUAGGCAUACUUUGUCUAUUCUGCAUGCAACAUACAGUACUUUCACACUUAAUGAAUGUACAGUAAUCACUUUUUACAUCUUAACACUGUAUUCUUGGCUGAAUGUGUCCAGGUACAGUAAUGUACAUUACUGCACAACACAAAUUGUACACAAAAAGCAGCAGCAAACGAGUGAACAACCUUGUGCAAUGGAGCCUAUGGCUUUUAUUACCCAAGCAGUUAUCCCACCAACGUAUUGGAGAAUAAUGCAAUCUCUUGGAACUCCUGGAAAAUUUGUUCUCAUGAUGGAAACAGAGAUAUUUUCUCUUAAUUUUUAGGGAAAAUGUUCAUUAUAUUCUCUUCAGAAGCUCGUUUCUAUACAUGGAAUGGAGAGGGUUUUCUUGAAGUUUCCCUGAAGGCUAAAAAUUAAUUCUGGCUAUUGGAGAGUUCUGGGGACUAGAUAUUCCGGCUAACGGGAAAUACUGUACAGUAUUACUAUUAUCUUAAAUUCAAGCUAAUUAAGUAAAGUAUCUUGCCUAUAUACAGUCAGUAAACUAAGUAUCAUUCACCUCAAGGUUACUGGAAUAGAAAAUGAUCAAUAGCAACCAGCUGACUCCGGUAACCACAGGUAUAUGUUUACAGUUUUCACAAGAUGUUUCACACUGUUACUCGUGGAAGGGUGGUCGAUAAUUUUGUAUUGACUUGUAAUUCUGUCAUGUUCUCACAUAAUAACAUCAGGUUAUAUCAUGACUGUGACAGUAUAGUUCAGGGAAAUACAGAAUUCAAUAAGUAAUGAAUAUAAAGUAACAAAACUCUCCUUGUUUAAACGUCAUACAAGUUACCACCUGUUAAAUGGUGGUCUUCAAUGUUGUUUAUGUAAUUAAAAUAAAUUCUACAUCCAAGUAUAGUACUGUGUAGAGUAUGUAUAUUAUGUAUGAACCCAGGCAUUUUUAUCUAUAUACUGUAUAUACAGGGCAUACUGCAAUGUUAUGUUAUAACUUAAGGGGCUGAUUCCUGGAGUCAUUAGCAGUCAGAAAUAUAUUAUGAACUUUGGUCUGAUUCAAAAUGGUUGUGGAGGUAUGGGGAGAACAAGUAUAAUUAUAUGUGAGAGAUGUGUGUGUGUGUGUCACAUAGCAUCAGGUGUAUCAACCUCUCCUAUUCCUUCCCAAUGCAGCAUGAUUUGCUAGUACAGUACAAGCUGUAUGAAACUGAUUAAAAAACGGCGAGGCCGUCAUUAUGAAUCAUAAAGCAUCAUAAUGAGAAUCAAGGCCUUACUAGUGCUUACAUUAGCAAUGAGUGCAGCUCAGGGUGUGAUUGUGUGAUGCCUAGUGGUAGCCUGUUAAUCAGAUUAGCUGUGAAUAUGCCGUUGACAUUCACGAAGGAGAAAUAUAUGGAGAAGCACUUUGUGUAUUGGUUAUGUGAUGGGAAUGGUUGUCAUAUUAUUUUAAUUCUCUUGACUGUAGUACAUACAUCUCCCCAUAGUACAUACUGUAUUACAUAUCUGACUGGUAACGACCCCAGGAAUCAGCCCCUGAAGUUAUGAUAUAACGUUGCGAUACACCUUGUAUAUACUGUACAGUACAGUACUGUACCUUGGUUUUUUAUCAGUAUGGUACAUUAAUUAUAAUGCAACUUGGUGCUUGUCAAAGUAAAGUAUUUCAUGUAAUGGGGAAAUUGAAGCCAUUUGGGUUACAGGAAAACAUGAAGGAAAAAAAGUAAAAAUCUGUUUUCUCACCAAGAUAAUAUGGUCAUGACUACCCAUAAUAAGUGACCCACCCAUGGAAGAGAUUUAUACUGACACACAACUUGAGGAAGCACUAGUGGCACGCACUCCCCACUGUGUUCAGAUACUAUAAUUUUAGAUAGUCAUUGAUCCCCUUAAAAAAGGUACCAGUGGUUACAAAAAGCAAGUGUGCUUCCCUCAUGAGAAAUACGUUCCUACACAUAAGGUAUUAAAAAUGGUGGUAAGAGGGGGAUAGUGCAUGAGGUGAGUUUAGUCAGUAGUUGUUAAGGUCAAAGUAUUGUACAUGUAUUAUGUCAGUGGAGUGUGCUGGGGGAAACAAGGUACAGUAGUGCUCUCUGUAGAAAAGAAUUACUUUAAGUGUAAAAUUGAUGGACAGAAAUUUUGCUGUCAUUUAACUUGCUGAGGCAUUCAAGCAAAAUUGAUUUUUUUAAGUUACUGUACAUCGUCUUCCUCAUAAUUUAGUUACCAAUCAAGUAUGGAUGAUGAUCUCCUUUACCACGUGUCAUCAUCAAUCUUGUUGGGAAAAUUAGGGAGUUAAAGGGUGUUUGUAAACUUUACCAUGGCCAGUAACUCUGUAAGGCAUCCACAAUUGACUCAGGGCUCUUAAGCUGUGAAUAUAAGUACUCCUCUUAUCUUUUUAAUAGACCAGAUUUUCAAAAUUUUUAUAUCCUUUUUUUGUUAAUAAAUACUGUACAAGCAGUUGGCAACAACCUCUUUGGAUGUUGGUUGCCCAACUGUAACAUAAAGAAUUCCAUAGUUUGUGGCAUUUCUGAUGGUGUGAAGAUGUCAUAAUGUAUUAUACUGUACUGUACUGCGCUUCAACAGCUAAGGUCUUUAAGUGCAUAUUCUAGGUUAGUGCCACACUAGACAUCAGUAAAAACUAAGAGAGAUACAUCUCUAUGGUUGAUGUGGAGAGGUUGGCAAGAGAUAUGCAUCCUUGCUUUUAAUACAGUAAAUAAAAUAAUUUAUAGACUGUAUUAAAACAUACACAGUAAUGCCUUUUAAUGAUUUGUAACAUUAUCAAAAAGAAGAUCAAAAGGGCAAUUUUUCUCAAUAAUAAUUUUCCGAGAUGUUUGAUUGUAGUUAUAAAUAGUAUUUAUAACCAUUAUACUUUUGGUUAGAAUUUAAUGAAGUUACAUAAUUAACUUUAGAGAACUAGAAACAUAGUUUUACCAAGUUGUAUUCACUUCAUGUUUAAUGUCAUGAAUAGUGUAUUGCCAAAUUUUGUACAUAGUGCUCCAACAAAAGGUUUACUGAACCAUUUGUAAUUAUCAAGAAAAUAAAAUUAUUUCACGUG
rnacentral:lncRNA from 1 species